GUCAACUUGCUGAGUCGUCCAGGCCUUCAUCUUUCUUCUGUGCUGGAUGCUUCCCUGCUCUUGAACAUCAAGACUUCAGGUUUUGGGACUCAGACUGAGCCACUGCUGGCUUCCUUGCUCCUCAGCUUGCAGAUGCCUAUUGUGGGACUUCACCUUACAGUCAUACCCGAUGUGAAGCCUGACUGAGCAGAGUGGAGACCAGCAGCUGCACGUCAAGUGGCCUUCCCAGGACUUGACUCCAUAUGCAUGUUCUCGUCCAUGGGCUCAUACCCAGUCCAAAGGACUUUACCCCAGCUCCAUCUUUGCCCAGACACACUUGAGGCUGCAGGGUUUUGCUUCCCAAGGCCCUCACCAGAAUCAGAUGCUGGCACCAUGCUUCCUGUACAGCUUAUAAAACCGUGAGCCAAUUAAAUCUCUUUUCCUUAUAAA
rnacentral:lncRNA from 1 species